UGAACGCUGGCGGCGUGCCUAACACAUGCAAGUUGAGCGAUUUACUUCGGUAAAGAGCGGCGGACGGGUGAGUAACGCGUGGGUAACCUACCCUGUACACACGGAUAACAUACCGAAAGGUAUGCUAAUACGGGAUAAUAUAUUUGAGAGGCAUCUCUUAAAUAUCAAAGGUGAGCCAGUACAGGAUGGACCCGCGUCUGAUUAGCUAGUUGGUAAGGUAACGGCUUACCAAGGCGACGAUCAGUAGCCGACCUGAGAGGGUGAUCGGCCACAUUGGAACUGAGACACGGUCCAAACUCCUACGGGAGGCAGCAGUGGGGAAUAUUGCACAAUGGGCGAAAGCCUGAUGCAGCAACGCCGCGUGAGUGAUGAAGGCCUUCGGGUCGUAAAACUCUGUCCUCAAGGAAGAUAAUGACGGUACUUGAGGAGGAAGCCCCGGCUAACUACGUGCCAGCAGCCGCGGUAAUACGUAGGGGGCUAGCGUUAUCCGGAUUUACUGGGCGUAAAGGGUGCGUAGGCGGUCUUUCAAGUCAGGAGUGAAAGGCUACGGCUCAACCGUAGUAAGCUCUUGAAACUGGGAGACUUGAGUGCAGGAGAGGAGAGUGGAAUUCCUAGUGUAGCGGUGAAAUGCGUAGAUAUUAGGAGGAACACCAGUUGCGAAGGCGGCUCUCUGGACUGUAACUGACGCUGAGGCACGAAAGCGUGGGGAGC
rnacentral:rRNA from 1 species